UGGGGAAUAUUGCACAAUGGGCGCAAGCCUGAUGCAGCGACGCCGCGUGGGGGAUGACGGCCUUCGGGUUGUAAACCUCUUUCAAUAGGGACGAAGCGCAAGUGACGGUACCUAUAGAAGAAGCACCGGCCAACUACGUGCCAGCAGCCGCGGUAAUACGUAGGGUGCGAGCGUUGUCCGGAAUUACUGGGCGUAAAGAGCUCGUAGGUGGUUUGUCGCGUUGUUCGUGAAAACCGGGGGCUUAACCCUCGGCGUGCGGGCGAUACGGGCAGACUGGAGUACUGCAGGGGAGACUGGAAUUCCUGGUGUAGCGGUGGAAUGCGCAGAUAUCAGGAGGAACACCGGUGGCGAAGGCGGGUCUCUGGGCAGUAACUGACGCUGAGGAGCGAAAGCGUGGGGAGCGAACAGGAUUAGAUACCCUGGUAGUCCACGCCGGUAAAACGGUGGGUACUAGGUGUGGGUUUACCUUCCUUGGGAUCCGUGCCGUAGCUAAC
rnacentral:rRNA from 1 species